CCUACGGGCGGCAGCAGUGAGGAAUAUUGGUCAAUGGACGAGAGUCUGAACCAGCCAAGUAGCGUGAAGGAUGACUGCCCUAUGGGUUGUAAACUUCUUUUAUAUGGGAAUAAAACAGGGUAUGCAUACCCUCUUGUAUGUACCAUAUGAAUAAGGAUCGGCUAACUCCGUGCCAGCAGCCGCGGUAAUACGGCGGAUCCGAGCGUUAUCCGGAUUUAUUGGGUUUAAAGGGAGCGUAGGUGGAUUGUUAAGUCAGUUGUGAAAGUUUGCGGCUCAACCGUAAAAUUGCAGUUGAAACUGGCAGUCGUGAGUACAGUAGAGGUGGGCGGAAUUCGUGGUGUAGCGGUGAAAUGCUUAGAUAUCACGAAGAACUCCGAUUGCGAAGGCAGCUCACUGGACUGCAACUGACACUGAUGCUCGAAAAUGUGGGUAUCAAACAGGAUUAGAUACCCCGGUAGUC
rnacentral:rRNA from 1 species